rnacentral:lncRNA from 1 species
GGAGAUAGUGAAGUGCUUGCCAUGAAAGCAUGAUGCCCGAGUUCAAUCCUCAAAACUGAGGAACAAAGACAAACAGGUGUGUGGUGGUAUAUGCACUUACAGUCUGUGCUGUGAAGGCGGAAACAGGUGGAUCCUUAGGGGUCAUUGACCACUCUGGCUAGUUAAUCAGUAAGUUUCAGGCCAAUGAGAGAGGCUAUUUCAAGAGACGAGGUGAACAGCAACUGAGGAACAAUGCCUGAGUUUGACCACUGAGUUCUACGUGCACCAGCUCCCAUGUACACACAGACACUCAAUCAUGGAGUCCCUUUGCUAAGGUCAGAGUAACAGCACCCUUACCCCAGUUAGUCCUUGGUGCUAUUUGCCUAAUUAUGGAAUUACAAUCAUCUUUUUCUUUUCUUUUCUUUUCUUUUCUUUUCUUUUCUUUUCUUUUCUUUUUUAAUUUGGGAAUAGUUAAUUCAUGAUCCCUGAAAUGCUUGUCUCUUAGAAGUUGUAUAUUUUGGGAGGUUUAAAGUAUAAAACUUGAGGAAAUAGCUUAGUUUCUUCACAUUGCAUAUCUGCAUGAGGAGAGAUAGGUCAGGUAUCUGUGGAGGAAUAUACUCUAGGCCCUGAGUUUUCUUAGAAUUCUAGAAAUGUGCCUCAAUUCAAUCACUUGAUAAUGUAGUACAGGAGAUGAAGUCCUUUGCCUCUUGUCACAUUGAUUAGAGGUGGCAGCUGUGGAAUUUGAACACAGGCCAGCUAUGGCUCUGGAUAGUCUCAGCAGUAUCUGGCUUGGACACAGUGUUGAUCCUGUAGAGAGGCAGCAGAGAGGGCCAGGGUCUAAAUGCAACCUUGUUACGCACUUGGUCCUUAUGUGCUGAUAGAGGCAACAGAUCAACCUGGUGAGAAGACCCUGAAGAAUAGAGAUUCCAAAAAGAGUGUUGGCAAGGUGUAAGAGUACCGCAAGUGCUCCUGGAUUUAAUAAGGCCCUUUAUAUCUUAGACCAGUGUCAGGGAGGAGCUGAAUAUGUCCUGCAUGAAGCAAGCCUGAGUGCCGGUAGCGCUCAUGUGAGCUGCUAAGGAGUUUCCAGACUCACCAAACACAAAUACUGUGACCUAGAUCCAGGCACUAUUCAUACAGUUUAUUAAGUCCAUUAACACCUAAAAGACUUUUUUUUCCCUGUAUCUUACAAACUGUAGUGGUGUUUAUCUUUCAUCAUGAAAGUAAAUAUAUUUGAAAGCAAGUAUAUCUUUUAGGCUCCAAGAAAUUGAAGAUAGGGUAGUGCCUGUUAGUAGCUUACUUUAUAAUUUUUUUUUUUUGUGAUAAAGUGUAAAUAACCAUUUGAGGUAUACAGUUUGGUGGCACUAGCUAUGCCUUGUUAUUGUGCAGCCAACACCACCAUCUCUAGAACAUUUUUUUUUUUUUCUUUUCUCAGAAGCCAGGAGUUACCAAUGCUUGUCUUCUACCUCAGUCAAAGCCUUCACUCUGUAAAGGGGAAGACACAGGAAACCCACCAUGCUAUUGUUAAAUCCCAGGUGGAAUUUGCCUUCUUCAGGACAAAAGUGUUGGUUACUAACUCAAAUGGAGAAUGGGUUUUGUGUUUUCACACACAUUACUGAUUUCAAAAGGCACAAUAGGUUUGUAACUGUUAAUACAAUUACAGCGUGGUGGUAUUUGCUUCUUACCUUACUUUGUCAACAUUCUGGAUUACAGUAGUAGUAGUUGUAUAGACAUUAAUUCUUGGUUUUUGCUAAAUGCUAGUCCUGGAGAGACAGUGUUAAAACCAGCAGACAAGGCUCCCAUGAGAAGGGCUCUUGACAUCUUAGUUUUUUAUUUUAUUUUUUAUUGUUUUGUACUUCUUUAACAUAUUUGUUGUAGUGCUUAGUAUAUAGGGUUUUAUACUUUAUUUUAGAGUGUAAUUAGCUUGAAAUCAUUUGGUUUUGUAAAUCACAGAUCUGCCUCAUUCCACAAACCAAUUUCAAAAACUGAUUUUCAAGUGUUAUUUCACUAAAAAAAACCAGCUCUUCCAGUGUAAAUGUAAUUUUUGUAAGAAUUAGUUUUAGCGGUUGGAAUGUAGCUCAGCUGGUAGAGUAAAUUUGUUCAGCAUCAACUCAGCCUUGGAUGUUGUCACAAUCACCACAUGAAGCCAAUAUGGUUGGAUAAUUCCAGGACAUGGGAAGUGUAGUAAAGGGAAUCAGAAGUUCAAGGUCAGCUUGGGUAUUUGAGAGGUUAUUUUGUUGUUGUUGUUGGUGGUGGUGUGUUUUGUUUUGUUUUGUUUUGUUUUGUUUUGUUUUUUGAGACAGGGUUUCUCUGUGUAGCCCUGGCUGGCCUGGAACUCACUUUGUAGACCAGGCUGGCCUCGAACUCAGAAAUCCACCUGCCUCUGCCUCCCGAGUGCUGGGAUUAAAGUCGUGCGCCACCAUGCCUGACUGAGAGAUUAUUUUAAAAAAGGAUUUAAAAAAUGAUUUAUCAUCAGCAAACUUUUAUUUGGAUGUUUUUAUUAGGGAAUGGAGAGGAAGAACAGGCUAUAUCGAACUGCUGGCU